rnacentral:rRNA from 1 species
UACGUAGGGUGCGAGCGUUAUUCGGAAUUACUGGGCGUAAAGGGUGCGCAGGCGGUUUUGCAAGUCAGGCGUGAAAUCCCCGGGCUUAACCUGGGAAUGGCGCUUGAAACUACGGGACUGGAGUAUGGCAGAGGGAGGUGGAAUUCCACGUGUAGCGGUGAAAUGCGUAGAGAUGUGGAGGAACACCGAUGGCGAAGGCAGCCUCCUGGGCCAAUACUGACGCUCAUGCACGAAAGCGUGGGGAGCGAACAGG